rnacentral:lncRNA from 1 species
CCUGCAGCGCGUCAUCGACUAUAUCCUUGACCUCCAGGUGGUCCUGGCCGAGCCGGCUCCUGGGCCCCCAGACGGUCCUCAUCUCCCCAUCCAGACAGCUGAGCUUGCUCCGGAACUUGUGAUCUCCAACGACAAGAGGAGCUUCUGCCACUGACCCUGCCGUCCUGGCACCUCCAGAACGCAGGUGCUGGCGCCCGUUCCGCCUGGGACCCGGGGACCCUCUCCGGCCGGAAGCUCCAGGGCAUGGAUGAGCCCUAACCUCGCCCU